rnacentral:rRNA from 1 species
GAUAAACGCUGGCGGCGUGCCUAACACAUGCAAGUCGAGCGAUUCUCUUCGGAGAAGAGCGGCGGACGGGUGAGUAACGCGUGGGUAACCUGCCCUGUACACACGGAUAACAUACCGAAAGGUAUGCUAAUACGAGAUAAUAUGCUUUUAUCGCAUGGUAGAAGUAUCAAAGCUUUUGCGGUACAGGAUGGACCCGCGUCUGAUUAGCUAGUUGGUAAGGUAACGGCUUACCAAGGCGACGAUCAGUAGCCGACCUGAGAGGGUGAUCGGCCACAUUGGAACUGAGACACGGUCCAAACUCCUACGGGAGGCAGCAGUGGGGAAUAUUGCACAAUGGGCGAAAGCCUGAUGCAGCAACGCCGCGUGAGCGAUGAAGGCCUUCGGGUCGUAAAGCUCUGUCCUCAAGGAAGAUAAUGACGGUACUUGAGGAGGAAGCCCCGGCUAACUACGUGCCAGCAGCCGCCGCCG